rnacentral:rRNA from 1 species
GCUAACAUGCAGUCGACGGUGAACACGGAGCUUGCUCUGUGGGAUCAGUGGCGAACGGGUGAGUAACACGUGAGCAACCUGCCCCUGACUCUGGGAUAAGCGCUGGAAACGGCGUCUAAUACUGGAUAUGUGACGUGACCGCAUGGUCUGCGUCUGGAAAGAAUUUCGGUUGGGGAUGGGCUCGCGGCCUAUCAGCUUGUUGGUGAGGUAAUGGCUCACCAAGGCCUCAACGGGUAGCCGGCCUGAGAGGGUGACCGGCCACACUGGGACUGAGACACGGCCCAAACUCCUACGGGAGGCAGCAGUGGGGAAUAUUGCACAAUGGGCGCAAGCCUGAUGCACCAACCCCG